UACAGAGGGGGCAAGCGUUGUUCGGAAUUACUGGGCGUAAAGGGCGCGUAGGCGGCCGCCUAAGUCAGACGUGAAAUCCCUCGGCUCAACCGGGGAACUGCGUCUGAUACUGGGUGGCUUGAGUUUGGGAGAGGGAUGCGGAAUUCCAGGUGUAGCGGUGAAAUGCGUAGAUAUCUGGAGGAACACCGGUGGCGAAGGCGGCAUCCUGGACCAACACUGACGCUGAGUGAGCGAAAGCCAGGGGAGCAAACAGG
rnacentral:rRNA from 1 species